AUGCAGGGAGAUAGAAAUACAGUGAGAGAAGUUGAUAUGCAAGAGAAAGAGAGAGAGGCCAACCAGAAUCCGAGUGGCAGCCAUCCAUAUAAGUCAGGUCGGUGUUUCGGAUAUGGGUGAUAUCCAACGGUUCUCCUCGGUGGAAGAAGUCGAAGGUUUUGGGCAAUCCGGCGAAAUGUUCAAACCACUGAGGCGAGCGAUGAAGAGUUCUGAUCAGACGAAAGCCUCGGCGAAUCAAAGAUGAAAACACAGAAAAUGUUAUUUUCUCUCUAUCUCACACACUCUCUGUUUCUAGAUCCCAUCCCGGUCACCGGCGAAUAUGGUGUCGUCGUCGUUGUCUUACACAUCUCUCUGUUCACCCACUCAGCGUUGCCUUGAUAGUAUCGAAGAAGUCAGGCGUCGUUAAAUCGACGGGAAGAAAACAAUUACAGAUACCUCGCCGCGCGGAGAUGACGAUUUGCAGAGACAAUGGGGGAGUUCAAUCAAAUUGUUGGGACAUGACAUGUGGUUUUGUGGUGGUGGUGAUGGUUGGUUAUAUAGGGUAGUGGAAAGGUGGCAAACGAUUGGAGGAACGGCGGUGGGAGGAGGCGCGUCGUUUCGGUCAGUGACGACGACAGUUGAAUCGUUGUGUCAAUUCCGUUAAGGCGUAUUCACUUUAAGUUGAGGGUGUCGGUUAAUUCACGGAGUUGGUUAUUUGCAAUGGAUGGUGGAGUUGCUUUUUUAUAUAUAAGUAAUAAUUUAUUAACUCUAAAUGUGAUUUAAACGGCAUGUUUGUGCGGACACGACCUUUGUUAAGUUAGUGGUGCCUCAAGUUAGUUUUUGUAGGGUUAUGUAAUUUAUUGGUUUUUAGUUUACUAGUAAAUAAUUUUUUUUUCCGUUCAGAAAGUUGUUCAUAAAUAAAGUUAAAUAAUUUAUUGCAAACAAUGUAAAACAUGGUUUCUCUUGUACCAAAUAAAUAAAGUUAUGAUAUCGUUUGUUGUUUU
rnacentral:lncRNA from 1 species